UUUAUGGGGUGACUGCGUACCUUUUGUAUAAUGGGUCAGCGACUUAUAUUUUGUAGCAAGGUUAACCGAAUAGGGGAGCCGUAGGGAAACCGAGUCUUAACUGGGCGUCAAGUUGCAAGGUAUAGACCCGAAACCCGGUGAUCUAGCCAUGGGCAGGUUGAAGGUUGGGUAACACUAACUGGAGGACCGAACCGACUAAUGUUGAAAAAUUAGCGGAUGACUUGUGGCUGGGGGUGAAAGGCCAAUCAAACCGGGAGAUAGCUGGUUCUCCCCGAAAGCUAUUUAGGUAGCGCCUCGUGAACUCAUCUUCGGGGGUAGAGCACUGUUUCGACUAGGGGGUCAUCCCGACUUACCAACUCGAUGCAAACUACGAAUACCGAAGAAUGUUAUCACGGGAGACACACGGCGGGUGCUAACGUCCGUCGUGAAGAGGGAAACAACCCAGACCGCCAGCUAAGGUCCCAAAGUCAUAGUUAAGUGGGAAACGAUGUGGGAAGGCAUAGACAGCCAGGAUGUUGGCUUAGAAGCAGCCAUCAUUUAAAGAAAGCGUAAUAGCUCACUGGUCGAGUCGGCCUGCGCGGAAGAUGUAACGGGGCUAAACUAUGCACCGAAGCUGCGGCAGCGACACUUAGGUGUUGUUGGGUAGGGGAGCGUUCUGUAAGCCUGUGAAGGUGACCUGUGAGGGUUGCUGGAGGUAUCAGAAGUGCGAAUGCUGACAUAAGUAACGAUAAAGCGGGUGAAAAACCCGCUCGCCGGAAGACCAAGGGUUCCUGUCCAACGUUAAUCGGGGCAGGGUGAGUCGACCCCUAAGGCGAGGCCGAAAGGCGUAGUCGAUGGGAAACAGGUUAAUAUUCCUGUACUCGGUGUUACUGCGAAGGGGGGACGGAGAAGGCUAGGCUAUCCGGGCGACGGUUGUCCCGGUUUAAGCGUGUAGGGGGUGUGACUUGGUAAAUCCGGUCGCAUACUAACCCUGAGGCGUGAUGACGAGUCACUACGGUGAUGAAGUAGUUGAUGCCAAGCUUCCAGGAAAAGCCUCUAAGCUCUAGGUAACAUUGAAUCGUACCCCAAACCGACACAGGUGGUCAGGUAGAGAAUACCAAGGCGCUUGAGAGAACUCGGGUGAAGGAACUAGGCAAAAUGGUGCCGUAACUUCGGGAGAAGGCACGCUGGCGCGUAGGUGAAGUCCCUUGCGGAUGGAGCUGAAGCCAGUCGAAGAUACCAGCUGGCUGCAACUGUUUAAUAAAAACACAGCACUGUGCAAACACGAAAGUGGACGUAUACGGUGUGACGCCUGCCCGGUGCUGGAAGGUUAAUUGAUGGGGUCAGCCGCAAGGCGAAGCUCUUGAUCGAAGCCCCAGUAAACGGCGGCCGUAACUAUAACGGUCCUAAGGUAGCGAAAUUCCUUGUCGGGUAAGUUCCGACCUGCACGAAUGGCGUAAUGAUGGCCAGGCUGUCUCCACCCGAGACUCAGUGAAAUUGAACUCGCUGUGAAGAUGCAGUGUACCCGCGGCAAGACGGAAAGACCCCGUGAACCUUUACUAUAGCUUGACACUGAACAUUGAGCCUUGAUGUGUAGGAUAGGUGGGAGGCUUUGAAG
rnacentral:rRNA from 1 species